ACGAACGCUGGCGGCGUGCUUAACACAUGCAAGUCGAACGGAAAGGCCCUGCUUUUGUGGGGUGCUCGAGUGGCGAACGGGUGAGUAACACGUGAGUAACCUGCCCUUUACUUUGGGAUAACUUCAGGAAACUGGGGCUAAUACCGGAUAGGAGCUCCUGCUGCCUGGUGGGGGUUGGAAAGUUUCGGCGGUUGGGGAUGGACUCGCGGCUUAUCAGCUUGUUGGUGGGGUAGUGGCUUACCAAGGCUUUGACGGGUAGCCGGCCUGAGAGGGUGACCGGCCACAUUGGGACUGAGAUACGGCCCAGACUCCUACGGGAGGCAGCAGUGGGGAAUAUUGCACAAUGGGCGGAAGCCUGAUGCAGCAACGCCGCGUGCGGGAUGACGGCCUUCGGGUUGUAAACCGCUUUCGCCUGUGACGAAGCGUGAGUGACGGUAAUGGGUAAAGAAGCACCGGCUAACUACGUG
rnacentral:rRNA from 1 species